rnacentral:rRNA from 1 species
CCUACGGGAGGCAGCAGUGGGGAAUAUUGCACAAUGGGGGGAACCCUGAUGCAGCGACGCCGCGUGAGUGAAGAAGUAUUUCGGUAUGUAAAGCUCUAUCAGCAGGGAAGAAAAUGACGGUACCUGACUAAGAAGCCCCGGCUAACUACGUGCCAGCAGCCGCGGUAAUACGUAGGGGGCAAGCGUUAUCCGGAUUUACUGGGUGUAAAGGGAGCGCAGACGGCUGUGCAAGUCUGGAGUGAAAGGCGGGGGCCCAACCCCCGGACUGCUCUGGAAACUGUAAAGCUGGAGUGCAGGAGAGGUAAGCGGAAUUCCUAGUGUAGCGGUGAAAUGCGUAGAUAUUAGGAGGAACACCAGUGGCGAAGGCGGCCUGCUGGACGACAACUGACGGUGAGGCGCGAAAGCGUGGGGAGCAAACAGGAUUAGAUACCCUAGUAGUC